rnacentral:lncRNA from 1 species
UAGAGAAGUUUUAUUUCUAGAUUUAAAAACUGAGUUUUUAUAAUGUUUUGAAUCACAGCAAGUUGAACAUGACCAUUAAAAUAUUACUAAGAAAUAAUUUUUCUUUGUCUUUUUUCCAUUUUUUGGGCCACUCCUGUAGGGAUGGAGGUUCCCAGCCAGCGGCUACAGCUCCAAUUGGACUCCUAGCCUGGGAACCUCCGUAUGCCGUGGGUGCAGCCCGAAAAAGACAAGAAAAAAAGAAAGAAAAAAAUAACCAUGCCAACUGAACACUAUUUCAAGAAAUACUCUUGGCAUUUUGCUGAAAUUAGUUAAUGAGUGAUGUAUCACAUUUUGUGAUUCCAAACUUCUUUAAGAAUACUAACUGAAUUUUUAAUCAUUUGUUUUAAUAUGAAAUUAUUAUAUGUUAGUACAGACGUUGAAGGCUAUCAGUAAACCCGUGUUAGAACUUAAAUGAUUAUAAGAAAUCAAGAGUUUUGUAAAUACAUGCUAUUGAAAACUUCUUGUUUUAGGGUGCCUAGAAUAAAACUUCGAUCACAUAGUUUUUUGUGGUCAGUAUUUUUAGAAAUAAACUUUGAGCAUAAGAUUGAAUGCUCUUAGAAGACAGGGUUUGUAACUUUUAUUGCUAUAAACUAUACACUAUGACUAGCAUCCCUUCUACAAAAUGGGAAUUUAAUAAAUAUGUUAAUGAAUAGCUAUCCAUGGAAAUAACGUAUUUUAUUUCUUUUAUUGCUUUGUUUUCUUUUAUAAGCCUGCUUUCUUUUAGAGAAUCAUAUAAGUUACCAGGGAGGCUUAAGAUAUGAAAGCACAGUGUACUAUUUUUAUUAUGAGAAGUUCAAAGACCAUCUGUAUUUAUUAAUGAUCACCACUAAGCACUUCUUGGUAUUUAUUCUACUAAAUAAUGAGUUGUAAAGAUGGCAGAGUCAAACUGAGAGGUGAAUACCAGGCUCUCUCACUAGCUGGAAGAUUUGCUCUUUCACAUCUAUUUUUCAGCUUUAUUUUAGUAUCAUUCAUAUGUGUGCCUCUGCAAAAUGACAAAUUACCAUAGGCCCUGAACCUUUGGGUCAAUGUCACUGUGAAAAUAGUCACUGAAUAGCUAGGGUCUCUGCAAGGAUCCUUAACCUGUAAGGGUUCUGUCUUCAGAAGGUCCAUGAAGCUCCUGAAAUUAUUUGCUGCAUUUUAUGGAUUUGUGCAUACACAUUUUCUUUUUUUUUUCUGAGAAGAUGUCUGUAACAUUUAUGAGUACUAUCAAGUGUGUAACCCAAGAAAGGUUCAAAAGCUCUUCAGAGGCCUUUUACAUUGCAUAAAGCCUUGCCAUCUCAGUUCUUUGAUGUACAGCAUAUACUCUAGAGGAAUGAAGAUACUAUGUGUGUUUAUUUAUCAGUCUUAUUUUAAUUUUACAGUCUAGAAAAUUUGUGCCCUUUUCAUAAUACGUGGGUAUUUCUUUUUUAUGUGAAUUCAUAUUUUGAUGCAAAUGCAGUGUGAGUGAAUGGAAUUGAUAAAUGUGAAUGAUGCUUUACAUAUUUUUAUUAUUUAUGUGCAUGAAUUCAUUACUAAAGAGGGGAAGAAAAAUUUUUUUCAUAUUUUACUUGUAGUUCUUUUCAUGGAAUAGAAUAAUUUGAAAUAAAUUUUGGAUUGAAUUUAAAAUUUUCAUAUUCAAAAUAUACUUUUUUAAAAUAAGAGACCUGCUUUUAUGGAAGUACUAAUCCCUAACUCAUUCUAUAGAAAUGAGAUCUUAUACAAAAAAUAGUCAUAUGGUAUAUAGAGUAGACUAAACCAUAAUUGAUUAUUAUGAGUGUAUGUGAAUGUUUGUUUUGUUUGAACUGGAUUUUACGAUAGUGUCGGACUUCUUCGUUAAAGCUUUAGCUGCUGCUUCCUGGACUUCUUUGUUGUCUAAGGGAAACAAACUUCCUAGAAAGUGGAACUAUAGAGAAAGUUAAAAAUAGACAAGAGAAUUAGAAGACCUAAUUACAGUCUAACCUUAAUUAAUAUUUUUGAACUUGAUGAGUAAUUUAUUUCAAAAUUACAGCACCCACUGUCAUGAAAUGUAUCACCUGUAUAAACAAGCAAGUGGGAAACUGUUUUGCUGACUUAAAUUAAAUUUUUGCAAACAAGACAUUUUUAUUCUGUCACCCAAAAAAGGAAGCAUAUUGGUUAUUUUAAUUAAUAAAAAAUAACUGGAAUUAAUAGCCAUUUUUUGGGUAUUUACUUGUUAUAGACACUUUCACAUGUCACCUCAUUCGAUCUUUACAACUGUCUGAGAUAAAUAAUACUGCCAUUUUGAUGAGGAAGCUGAAGCAAAGUGACUUGUUCUAGGUGUUCUUUGGCAGGUAAUAAUAGGUGCUCAGUAUUUGUUAAAUUGAGUUACGUUGGUAUCUGUGACUCCCUAAUCCUUUCCUUCUUCACUGUCUCCAUUUCUGCCUUUAUCUGUAGUUAAAUUAUGGCCUCAGGACCCCGGGCCUUGAUACAUAGAACAUGGACAUGUACCCAGUGUGGUAUGUGCCACCCUGUCAGCAAACUUUCAUCAUGUUGUUUAAGAGAAAUAGGACCUGGAGUUCCCGUCGUGGCGCAGUGGUUAACGAAUCCGACUAGGAACCAUGAGGUUGCGGGUUCGGUCCCUGCCCUUGCUCAGUGGGUUGACGAUCCAGCGUUGCGGUGAGCCGUGGUGUAGGUUACAGACGCAGCUCGGAUCCCGCGUUGCUGUGGCUCUGGCGUAAGCCGGUAGCUACAGCUCCGAUUGGACCCCUAGCCUGGGAACCUCCGUAUGCCGCGGGAGCGGCCCAAGAAAUAGCAAAAAG